UACGAAGGGUGCUAGCGUUGUUCGGAAUCACUGGGCGUAAAGCGCGCGUAGGCGGCUUUUCAAGUCAGGGGUGAAAUCCCAUAGCUUAACUAUGGAACUGCCUUUGAAACUGUGAAGCUGGAGUGCGAGAAGGGAUAGCGGAAUUGCUAAUGUAGAGGUGAAAUUCGUAGAUAUUAGCAGGAACACCGGUGGCGAAAGCGGCUAUCUGGAUCGCAACUGACGCUGAGGCGCGAAAGCGUGGGGAUCAAACAGG
rnacentral:rRNA from 1 species